ensembl:lincRNA Gm37494 predicted gene, 37494
AGUGUUGUGUGUAGGUUCUCCGUGGCGGACACGGGUACGAGUGGGCCCCGCUUUCGGCGCUGGUACCAGGAGCUCUGAGAGGAACGUGGGCGAGCUCGGAAGCUGCGCCAUGGAUCUCGGGUUUCCCAAGUUGGCCUCAAACUUUCUCUUAGCUGAGGAGGACCUUGAACUUCUGAUCCCGCUACCCAAACCCACCUCCAGAGUGCUGGGAUUAAGGGUGUGUGACUAUAAGCCCCUUUGUGUGUGUGUGUGUGUGUGUGUGUGUGUGUGUGUGUGUGUUUCUGGGGAAGGAACCUAGGGCUUCGUGGUAGUAGUCAAACAUUCGAUCCGAUUCUGAGUAUAUCUUACAAGAUAAUGUUUAGAUCAACUUUCUGUUAUUUUUAGCAUAAAUUGUGAGGAUUUGAUGUGUUGAAUUUGUAGAUCAAAAUGACAACUGUCAUAAUUUUGAGGCUUCUUCCCAAAACCAUGGAAAUCUCUCCACUUACUAAGGUCUUUGAUUGUUUUUAUAUUAGAAAUGUAUGAUUUUUGUGUACAGAUGUUAAUUACAUUAAUAUGCAAAUAUGUCUCACUUUAUCCUUGCUAUAUAAGCUGUGUGGUGGUUUUAAUUUUCCAUCCAAAUGCCAAUGUACAUAC